rnacentral:pre_miRNA from 1 species
AUCACCUGGGGAUCUGGUCAAAAUGCAGAUUCCGAUUCAGAAGGUUUGGGGUGGGGCCUGAAAAUCUGCAUUUUCACAAGAUCCCAGGUGAUGCUAA